rnacentral:rRNA from 1 species
CCUCCUUUCUUCCUCCUUCUUUCCUCUUCCCCCCUUUCCUCCCGUCUGCUGGCGCCACGCCGCGUGAGUGAAGAAGGGUUUCGGCUCGUAAAGCUCUGUUGGUAGUGAAGAAAGAUAGAGGUAGUAACUGGCCUUUAUUUGACGGUAAUUACUUAGAAAGUCACGGCUAACUACGUGCCAGCAGCCGCGGUAAUACGUAGGUGGCAAGCGUUGUCCGGAUUUAUUGGGCGUAAAGCGAGUGCAGGCGGUUCAAUAAGUCUGAUGUGAAAGCCUUCGGCUCAACCGGAGAAUUGCAUCAGAAACUGUUGAACUUGAGUGCAGAAGAGGAGAGUGGAACUCCAUGUGUAGCGGUGGAAUGCGUAGAUAUAUGGAAGAACACCAGUGGCGAAGGCGGCUCUCUGGUCUGCAACUGACGCUGAGGCUCGAAAGCAUGGGUAGCGAACAGGAUUAGAUACCCGAGUAGUC